UUAGGGGAAAUGAAUUCUUUAGUUAUAUUUUACUGUAACUAAUAUUUCAAAAAGAAAAUUCAAAUGCAUACAAAAGUACAUUAUGUAAAGUAUGUCUACAAUAUUUUUUGAGAGACGAAUUAGAAAGAGAAUUUCAAUGCAUCAGUAAGUAUUACAAGUUCAUGAUUUUUUUUACAAUAACAAGAGAUUUAGUUUCUUUGUGAAGAUCCCUUCCAACUUGCCGACCUUAUUUUUGUCCUCUAUGCAUAGAGGCAACUCUUCUCUUUUGGACAUAAACUUUAUCCUGUUGCUGUUGUGAUUACAUAAUAGCAGUGUUAGCAUUUUUUCCUGAAUAACAUUUGAAGCAAAAAGUCAAUUGCAAAAAGUAUUUAGUAGUUAAUCAUCAUUUGAGCAACUCAGCAGAAAAUUUGUAUCAGACUUCAAAGAUUGAUCAAAAACAAAAACCAUAUUAUAUUCAAAUUAAACUCUAAUCUUUGCACUAUAUAUUCAACAAUAAGCACAAAAGAAAGACAAGAAGAACAGAAAAAUAGCCAUAAGAAAAAUUUCAAACCAAAAAACUUAAACAUUUUUUAUCAAUCAGACAUACAAAAUUUGAAACACUAAGCAAAAUUUCAACAAAAUCCCAUCUUUUUCUCUUUAUUGCAAAAUUACCACAUCAACUGAUAACACAUGAAAACUUAAGCUUUUAAUAUAUAACACAAACAAAAAUCAAUAGAAAUUCGAAGAGAAAGGUAUACACAAACUAAAGCAAAAAAAAUUAAAGUACGAAUAGACGAAGCAAAUUUCUUUUUAGCUCACCUGAGGUAACUUUCGUGGCUGCCGUAGUGUCGCUAGACUUUCAAAACUCCGGCGAAGUCUUUAUCUUGAUCUGAACACCCUUUUAUGCUUGCUUCAUCAACUGUACUGUUUCGAUUUAACAUUUGUGCUUUGAUUUUGUUGCGACUUACUAGUUAGGUUUCAAAUUGGGAUUGAGCGUGAUCUCCAUGUAUAUUUGUUGUCUGUUUGAUUUGCUUGCAUAUUUAUGUUGAGGGGAAGAUUUGAGAGAAUGUUAGUGUUGAAAGUUUGUGGGUUUGGGAUAAAUUUGAAUUCAAAAAAAAAACUUUGAUAAACACCUUCAUGGUGUUCUCUUGUUUCAAACUAUGAAUAUCUUUUUCUUAGAAGGUUUUUGUGGUCUUUUUUUCUUUUCAUGUUAAGGAGAAAGAUGAAGAAUGAAGCACAUAAAUAGAGUGAGAGAGAGGAAGCUUGUAUUUAAAGAAAAAAGAGAGUUUCAGGAGAUAAUGAUAUGAUGACUUUAUUUGUUUUCAUUUAAUGAAUCCCUGUCUUUAUUUCUUAUAAUUCUCCUUAAUGAACAAUCAUGACUUGGUUUAUUCACCUAUUUUUUUCAUUGCCAGAUGGAUUUUCUUCAUUAUCUCCAUAGUCAGCAUUAACAUUUGUAUUAGGUGUUUGUUUUGACCCAGACUGGACCUCUUGACCCGUGUUCAUCCCCUUCCUGGGCUUUCAUUAUGUUCUUUCUUUAUGGCCCAAUUGUUUCUUUUUUAUUUUAUUUUAUUUUCUUUUUCUAACAAGUUUUCUUUAUUUUAUAAAACAAGUUUUAUUUGUUAUAAUC
rnacentral:lncRNA from 1 species